AUGUCCACUUCCGCGUCACAGCGACAUUCCAAAUUACAGCUAGCCGCCGCGGCCUCUGUGCCGCUCGGCGCGGGUCGAUGCCCAGCUGUCUCCGUCUGACAUAUUUUCAAGCGUGUUUCCAGCAGGCACCCUGUGCUGUGAAAGAGUACGACGCAGAAACAUCACAGGCGGCUGCUCUGUAGUCACAAAUAACGGACUGACCAUCCAUGACUCAGACAUCCUCCCAAGUCCCAACAAGGACAGAGUCAGGUUACAAGACAAGAGGAUCUGCCUGCGGUGAUGCUUUCCUCCCUGUUUGUAACCUGAAAGAUAAACUUCACAAUAUGGGUCACUUACAGAUGUGGAAUUAGGGAAGAGGAAAGGAGGAAAGAAAAGCAAAAAUAAAGAUUCCCUGGAGGAUUACCGGCCAACCAGCUGCUGAACCCUGUUAAAAAAGCACCGAGCAGUAAUGGAGUGAAGGAGAGCGGCAGUCGCAUGGGAUGCAGGCCGGGUUUUACGACUAAACGAGAACAAUCUGGAGCCGCCUGACUACAAUAAAGAGCAUGUCUGGCUGGAGAGGGUACUGAUGACAUCAUCCGGCAGGCCUACUCCGGCUUGGUAGGCCUCGAGGCGGUUGAGAAGCGGUGGCCACUGGCAGGCGAGCGGGGAGCCUGGAGCGAGAAAGGUGCCCUCCACUCCAUCCAAAGUAUACCGGACCCACCCAGCGCACUCUGAAGCUACUUCUGCCGGUCCGCCAUAACUUCGGCGGAGACAACGUCGGCUACCGAGGAGGGUGUCACCAGUGUGGACUCCAACCACUCACUGGCCAUCAAGGGCUCCCCACUCAUCAGCUGCAAGGAGUCGUGGCGUAACUCUGGUUGCGAGCACCACCAACAGAGGCAUCAGGUGGAGGCUGUGCUAUUGGAGCGUGAAGAGGCGUACCACAGCAGGGAGGCCCUGGAGACCCCCCUGCAGGACCAGCCUGCCGUACAACAUCAGGGCCCCACAAAGCGGGGUCGAAAUAAGGGCCGGGGCCACGAGGAGGCCAGCAGUCAUCCGGCCACCCCGGACGCUGGCUGUGUGAACUCUGUCUGCUCCUCGCAUGUUCUUGCCUUGCAUAAAUCUCCCACUGUUUGUGCACUUUACAGUUCAGCAUCUGACCACCUUGUGUUUCUGCUGUGUGUAUUUGGGUUCGGUCUCCGUUGAGUGCAUGUUGCAGUCUUGCUCAGGACUACAAUAAAGAGCAUAUUUUGU